UUGGCGUCCGGGUCGAUCUCACGGGUGACGAUGAGGUAGUUGCGCAGCGCGAUCGCGUGCAGCUGCUC
rnacentral:sRNA from 1 species